UACAGAGGGGGCGAGCGUUAUUCGGAAUUAUUGGGCGUAAAGGGCGCGUAGGCGGCUUUGCAAGUGACGGGUGAAAUCCCUCGGCUUAACCGAGGAACUGCCUGUCAGACUGUAAGGCUUGAGACCGGGAGAGGUGAGUGGAAUUCCCAGUGUAGCGGUGAAAUGCGUAGAUAUUGGGAGGAACACCCGUGGCGAAGGCGGCCAGCUGGGCCGUCCCUGACGCUGAGGCGCGAAGGCGUGGGGAGCGAACGGGAUUGAGAAACCCCAGU
rnacentral:rRNA from 1 species